GACGAACGCUGGCGGCGUGCUUAACACAUGCAAGUCGAACGGAAAGGCCCUGCUUGUGUGGGGUGCUCGAGUGGCGAACGGGUGAGUAACACGUGAGUAACCUGCCCUUGACUUUGGGAUAACUUCAGGAAACUGGGGCUAAUACCGGAUAGGAGCUCCUGCUGCGUGGUGGGGGGUGGAAAGUCGCGGCGGUUGGGGCUGGACUCGCGGGUUAUCAGCUUGUUGGUGGGGUAGGGGCUUACCAAGGCUUUGACGGGUAGCCGGCAUGAGAGGGUGACCGGCCACAUUGGGCCUGCGAUACGGCCCAGACUCCUACGGGAGGCAGCAGUGGGGAAUAUUGCACAAUGGGCGGAAGCCUGAGGCAGCAACGCCGCGUGCGGGAUGACGGCCUUCGGGUUGUAAACCGCUUUCGCCUGUGACGAAGCGUGAGUGACGGUAAUGGGUAAAGAAGCACCGGCUAACUACGUG
rnacentral:rRNA from 1 species